rnacentral:rRNA from 1 species
GUCGAACGGACUUAAGGGGCUUGCUUCUUAAGUUAGUGGCGCACGGGUGAGUAAUGUAUAGCUAACCUGCCCUUUAGUGGGGGACAACAGAUGGAAACGUCUGCUAAUACCCCAUACUCCUUCUUAUCUUAAGAUAAGUUGGGAAAGAUUUAUCGCUAAAGGAUGGGGCUUUAUUGUAUCAGCUAGUUGGUGGGGUAAUGGCCUACCAAGGCAAUGACGCAUACCUGGUCUGAGAGGAUGAUCAGGCACACUGGAACUGAGACACGGUCCAGACUCCUACGGGAGGCAGCAGUGGGGAAUAUUGCACAAUGGAGGAAACUCUGAUGCAGCAACGCCGCGUGGAGGAUGACGCAUUUCGGUGUGUAAACUCCUUUUAUGAGGGAAGAUAAUGACGGUACCUUAUGAAUAAGCACCGGCUAACUCCGUGCCAGCAGCCGCGGUAAUACGGAGGGUGCAAGCGUUACUCGGAAUCACUGGGCGUAAAGGAUGCGUAGGCUGGAAAUCAAGUCGAGAGUGAAAUCCAACGGCUCAACCGUUGAACUGCUCUCGAAACUGGUUACCUAGAAUAUGG